GGUCAUCGCGACUUACCAAACCAUUGCAAACUCCGAAUACCGAGACGGACUGUAUGGGAGACACACGGCGGGUGCUAACGUCCGUCGUGAAAAGGGAAACAACCCAGACCCACAGCUAAGGUCCCAAAUUUUGUGCUAAGUGGAAAACCAUGUGGAAAGGCACAGACAGCCAGGAGGUUGGCUUAGAAGCAGCCACCCUUUAAAGAAAGCGUAAUAGCUCACUGGUCGAGUCGGUCUGCGGGGAAGAUUUAACGGGGCUAAGCACAGAACCGAAGCUUGGGGUGUGCAUAUUUAUAUGUACGCGGUAGAGGAGCGUUCCGUAAGCCGUUGAAGGUGGAUUGAGAAGUCUGCUGGAGGUAUCGGAAGUGCGAAUGCUGACAUGAGUAACGAUAAUGCGGGUGAAAAACCCGCACGCCGAAAGCCCAAGGUUUCCUUGCGCAACGUUAAUCGGCGCAGGGUGAGUCGGCCCCUAAGGCGAGGACGAAAGUCGUAGUCGAUGGGAAGCAGGUUAAUAUUCCUGCACCUCGCGUAAGUGCGAUGGAGGGACGGAGAAGGUUAGGCAUACCGGGCGUUGGUUGUCCCGGGGAAAGGCGGUAGGUUUGGAUCUUUGGCAAAUCCGGGAUCCUUCAAGACCGAGCACCGAGACGAGCCUUUAUGGCGAAGUUGCUGAUACCACGCUUCCAGGAAAAGCUCCUAAGCUUCAGCUUACGCAGACCGUACCGUAAACCGACACAGGUGGGUAGGAUGAGAAUUCUCAGGCGCUUGAGAGAACUCGGGUGAAGGAACUAGGCAACAUGGCACCGUAACUUCGGGAGAAGGUGCACCCUUUUUGGUGGCUCAUGCGAGCUAUAGCUGAAGAGGGUCGCAGUAACCAGGCCGCUGCGACUGUUUAUCAAAAACACAGCACUCUGCAAACACGAAAGUGGACGUAUAGGGUGUGACGCCUGCCCGGUGCUGGAAGGUUAAUUGAUGGGGUCAGCCGCAAGGCGAAGCUCUUGAUCGAAGCCCCAGUAAACGGCGGCCGUAACUAUAACGGUCCUAAGGUAGCGAAAUUCCUUGUCGGGUAAGUUCCGACCUGCACGAAUGGCGUAACGACAGCGGCGCUGUCUCCACCCGAGACUCAGUGAAAUUGAAAUCGCUGUGAAGAUGCAGCGUUCCCGUGGCAAGACGGAAAGACCCCGUGAACCUUUACUAUAGCUUUACACUGAACGUUGAGUUCGUCUGUGUAGGAUAGGUGGGAGGCUAUGAAACCAUGGCGCUAGCUGUGGCGGAGCCAUCCUUGAAAUACCACCCUGUCGUGCUUGACGUUCUAACCUGGG
rnacentral:rRNA from 2 species